rnacentral:tRNA from 1 species
GCAAAUGUAGCUCAUGGGUAGAGCAUUCGGCCCUUAAUCGAAGUGUAGCAGGUUCGAUUCCUGCCUUUUGCUCCA